UGGCCGGUACAGCGGGUUGCGAUACCGUGAGGUGGAGCGAAUCUCUGUAAAGCCGGUCUUGGUUCGGAUUCGAGUCUGCAACUCGACUCGAUGAAGGUGGAGUCGCUAGUAAUCGCAGAUCAGCAACGCUGCGGUGAAUGCGUUCCCGGGCCUUGUACACACCGCCCGUCACGUCAUGAAAGUUGGCAACACCCGAAGCCUGCGGCCUAACCAGCUUUUGCUGGAGGGAGUGGUCGAAGGUGGGGCUGGCGAUUAGGACGAAGUCGUAACAAGGUAGCCGUACCGGAAGGUGCGGCUGGAUCACCUCCUUUCUAAGGAG
rnacentral:rRNA from 1 species